rnacentral:rRNA from 1 species
UAAUACAGAGGUCUCAAGCGUUGUUCGGAUUUACUGGGCGUAAAGGGUGCGUAGGUGGUGAGGAAAGUCUGAUGUGAAAUCUCCAAGCUUAACUUGGAAAUGGCAUUGGAAACUACCUUGCUAGAGGGUUGAAGGGGGGACUGGAAUGCUCGGUGUAGCAGUGAAAUGCGUAGAUAUCGAGCGGAACACCAGUGGCGAAGGCGAGUCCCUGGACAACUCCUGACACUGAGGCACGAAAGCUAGGGGAGCAAACAGGAUUAGAUACCCUGGUAGUCCUAGCCUUAAACGGUGCACGUUUGCUGUGAGAGGAAUCGACCCCUUUCGUGGCGAAGCUAACGCGUUAAACGUGCCGCCUGGGGAGUACGGUCGCAAGAUUA